UACGGAGGGAGCUAGCGUUGUUCGGAAUACUGGGCGUAAAGCGCACGUAGGCGGCUAUUCAAAGUCAGAGGUGAAAGCCCGGGGCUCAACCCCGGAACUGCCUUUGAAACUAGAUAGCUUGAAUCCAGGAGAGGUGAGUGGAAUUCCGAAGUGUAGAGGUGAAAUUCGUAGAUAUUCGGAAGAACACCAGUGGCGAAGGCGGCUCACUGGACUGGUAUUGACGCUGAGGUGGCGAAAAGCGUCGGGGAGCAAACAGGAUUAGAUACCCCCGGUAGUCC
rnacentral:rRNA from 1 species